rnacentral:rRNA from 1 species
GAUGAACGCUAGCGGGAGGCCUAACACAUGCAAGCCGAGCGGUAUUUCUUCUUCGGGAGAGAGAGAGCGGCGUACGGGUGCGGAACACGUGUGCAACCUGCCUUUAUCUAGAGGAUAGCCUUUCGAAAGGAAGAUUAAUACUCUAUAAUAUAUUAAUUGGCAUCAAUUGAUAUUGAAAACUCCGGUGGAUAGAGAUGGGCACGCGCAAGAUUAGCUAGUUGGUGAGGUAACGGCUCACCAAGGCAAUGAUCUUUAGGGGCCUGAGAGGGUGAUCCCCCACACUGGUAAUGAGACACGGACCAGAAUCCUACGGGAGGCAGCAGUGAGGAAUAUUGGUCAAUGGGUGCAAGCCUGAACCAGCCAUCCCGCGUGAAGGAUUAAGGUCCUAUGGAUCGUAAACUUCUUUUGUAUAGGGAUAAACCUACCCUCGUGAGGGUAGCUGAAGGUACUAUACGAAUAAGCACCGGCUAACUCCGUGCCAGCCGCCGCCGUAA